rnacentral:tRNA from 1 species
UCCCUGGCAGUUCAGUGGUUAGGGCUCCAUACUUUCAUUGCCGAGGGCCUGGGUUCAAUUCCCAGUCGGGGAA